UACUCCCCAUCCGGUAUUCUUGGGUUUUUAAUUUUCCGAAUCGUUCCUACGGCGUACGGCAAAAAACGCGGGGAAAUCGUUUUACGGGCGUGUAGCGACGGUUUAAACGCACCGAUUAUUUACAUUCAAUUUUUAUCUAUCGCCGUUGUCGUUGAAUUUUCGCAUCGAUAUUAUGCAAUUCGCCGCGGUGUGCUAACGGAAGUUCGAAACAUUUAAGGCGUCCCGGGUCAGUACGACGUUAUUCACAACCAAUUAUUACGACGGCAUUGUAAAUUGGUGGGAAUUUUUUUUUUAUUGUUUUUUUUUUCUUUCCCCUCCCCAUUAUCUUCGCCAUACAAACACAGAGGACGUAUCCCCUCCCUCCACUCCUCCUCCCGCCUACUCGGUUUUACUUCGGAAAAAGAAAAUUGUAAAAAUCCGCGAGGCGGACGACGUGAGGAGGAGGAAGAGGAGUAGGGGAGAGGGAAAUUCGCGUAAAACCUCCGGUCGAUAUAUUAUUAUGAGCGUUACGUAAUAGA